ACGAACGCUGGCGGCGUGCUUAACACAUGCAAGUCGAACGGAAAGGCCCUGCUUUUGUGGGGUGCUCGAGUGGCGAACGGGUGAGUAACACGUGAGUAACCUGCCCUUGACUUUGGGAUAACUUCAGGAAACUGGGGCUAAUACCGGAUAGGAGCUCCUGCUGCAUGGUGGGGGUUGGAAAGUUUCGGCGGUUGGGGAUGGACUCGCGGCUUAUCAGCUUGUUGGUUGGGUAGUGGCUUACCAAGGCUUUGACGGGUAGCCGGCCUGAGAGGGUGACCAGCCACAUUGGGACUGAGAGACGGCCCAGACUCCUACGGGAGGCAGCAGUGGGGAAUAUUGCACAAUGGGCGGAAGCCUGAUGCAGCAACGCCGCGUGCGGGAUGACGGCCUUCGGGUUGUAAACCGCUUUCGCCUGUGACGAAGCGUGAGUGACGGUAAUGGGUAAAGAAGCACCGGCUAACUACGUG
rnacentral:rRNA from 1 species